AGAGUUUGAUCAUGGCUCAGAAUCAACGCUGGCGGCGCGCUUAACACAUGCAAGUCGCACGAGAAAGUGGAGCAAUCCAUGAGUAAAGUGGCGUACGGGUGAGUAACACGUGGAUCAUCUACCUUCUAGUGGGGAAUACCCCUGGGAAACUGGGGACAAUACCGCAUAAGCUCGUAAGAGGAAAGCAGCAAUGCGCUGGAAGAGGAGUCCGCGGCUGAUUAGCUAGUUGGCGGGGUAACGGCCCACCAAGGCGAAGAUCGGUAGCCGGCCUGAGAGGGCACACGGCCACACUGGCACUGAAACACGGGCCAGACUCCUACGGGAGGCAGCAGUGGGGAAUCUUGCACAAUGGAGGAAACUCUGAUGCAGCGACGCCGCGUGAGCGAUGAAGCCCUUCGGGGUGUAAAGCUCUUUCGACGGGAACGAUAAUGACGGUACCCGAAGAAGAAGCUGCGGCUAACUACGUGCCAGCAGCCGCGGUAAUACGUAGGCAGCAAGCGUUGUUCGGAAUUACUGGGCGUAAAGAGUGUGUAGGCGGUGUUCUAAGUUUGUCGUGAAAUCUCCCGGCUUAACUGGGAGGGUGCGGCGAAAACUGGAAUGCUAGAGGAUGGGAGAGGUAAGCGGAAUUCCUGGUGUAGCGGUGAAAUGCGUAGAUAUCAGGAGGAACACCUGUGGUGUAGACAGCUUACUGGACCAUUUCUGACGCUGAGACACGAAAGCGUGGGUAGCAAACAGGAUUAGAUACCCUAGUAGUCC
rnacentral:rRNA from 1 species